rnacentral:rRNA from 1 species
GGGGAAUUUUCCGCAAUGGGCGAAAGCCUGACGGAGCAACGCCGCGUGAGGGAGGAAGGCCUGUGGGUUGUAAACCUCUUUUCUCUAGGAAGAAGAUCUGACGGUACUAGAGGAAUCAGCAUCGGCUAACUCCGUGCCAGCAGCCGCGGUAAGACGGAGGAUGCAAGCGUUAUCCGGAAUUAUUGGGCGUAAAGCGUCCGCAGGUGGCUUUCUAAGUCUGCUGUUAAAUUCCAGGGCUCAACUCUGGGUAGGCGGUGGAAACUGGGGAGCUAGAGUACGGUAGGGGUAGAGGGAAUUCCUGGUGUAGCGGUGAAAUGCGUAGAUAUCAGGAAGAACACCGGUGGCGAAAGCGCUCUACUGGGCCGUAACUGACACUCAUGGACGAAAGCUAGGGGAGCGAAAGGGAUUAGAUACCCCUGUAGUC